rnacentral:piRNA from 5 species
UAACCCAGAGGUCGAUGGAUCGAAACCAUC